AAGGAAUAUUGCUCAAUGGGAGAAAUCCUGAAGCAGCAACGCCGCGUGGAGGAUGAAGGGUCUAUGACUUGUAAACUCCUGUAAAGAAGGAAAAAAUUCCCAUUAGAUGGGAGAUGAUGUUACUUCUGGAGUAAGCCCCGGCUAACUACGUGCCAGCAGCCGCGGUAAUACGUAGGGGGCAAGCGUUGUCCGGAUUUACUGGGUGUAAAGGGUGCUCAGGCGGAUUUGUAAGUCAGAGGUGAAAUCUUACAGCUUAACUGUGAAACUGCCUUUGAUACUGCAAGCCUAGAGUAUGGAAGAGAGUGAUGGAAUAUCUGGUGUAGCAGUGAAAUGCGUAGAUAUCAGAUAGAACACCAAUGGCGAAGGCAGGCACUUGGUCCAUUACUGACGCUAAAGCACGAAAGCGUGGGUAGCAAACA
rnacentral:rRNA from 1 species